rnacentral:rRNA from 1 species
GAUGAACGCUAGCGGCAGGCCUAACACAUGCAAGUCGAGGGGUAACAGGUUUAGCAAUAAAUGCUGACGACCGGCGCACGGGUGAGUAUCGCGUUUGCAACCUACCUUUAACUGGGGAAUAGCCCGGAGAAAUUCGGAUUAAUACCCCAUAAUAAUAAGAGGAGGCAUCUCCUUUUGUUUAAAGCUCUGGCGGUUAAAGAUGGGCAUGCGUGACAUUAGCUUGUUGGUGAGGUAACGGCUCACCAAGGCUACGAUGUCUAGGGGGUCUGAGAGGAUGAUCCCCCACACUGGUACUGAGACACGGACCAGACUCCUACGGGAGGCAGCAGUGAGGAAUAUUGGGCAAUGGGCGCAAGCCUGACCCAGCCAUGCCGCGUGCAGGAUGAAGGCGCUAUGCGUUGUAAACUGCUUUUGUACAGGAAGAAACCCAUCUACGUGUAGGUGGUUGACGGUACUGUCAGAAUAAGCAUCGGCUAACUCCGUGCCAGCCGCCGCGGUGACAC